rnacentral:rRNA from 8 species
CGAAAGCCUGACGGAGCAACGCCGCGUGAGGGAGGAAGGCUCUUGGGUUGUAAACCUCUUUUCUCAAGGAAGAUAAUGACGGUACUUGAGGAAUCAGCAUCGGCUAACUCCGUGCCAGCAGCCGCGGUAAUACGGAGGAUGCAAGCGUUAUCCGGAAUAAUUGGGCGUAAAGCGUUCGUAGGUGGUGAUGUAAGUCUGCUGUUAAAGCGUGUAGCUUAACUACAUAUAGGCGGUGGAAACUACAUGACUAGAGUGCGUUCGGGGCAGAGGGAAUUCCUGGUGUAGCGGUGAAAUGCGUAGAUAUCAGGAAGAACACCGGUGGCGAAGGCGCUCUGCUAGGCCGUAACUGACACUGAGGGACGAAAGCUAGGGGAGCG